rnacentral:rRNA from 1 species
GACGGAGGAUGCAAGCGUUAUCCGGAAUGAUUGGGCGUAAAGCGUCCGCAGGUGGCAGUUCAAGUCUGCUGUCAAAGACCGGGGCUUAACUUCGGAAAGGCAGUGGAAACUGAACAGCUAGAGUAUGGUAGGGGCAGAGGGAAUUCCUGGUGUAGCGGUGAAAUGCGUAGAGAUCAGGAAGAACAUCGGUGGCGAAGGCACUUUACUGGGCUAUUACUAACACUCAGAGACGAAAGCUAGGGUAGCAAAUGGG